rnacentral:rRNA from 1 species
AGAUGAACGCUGGCGGCAGGCCUAACACAUGCAAGUCGAGCGGCAGCGGACAGUAGCUUGCUACUUUGCCGGCGAGCGGCGGACGGGUGAGUAAUGUCUGGGAAACUGCCUGAUGGAGGGGGAUAACUACUGGAAACGGUAGCUAAUACCGCAUAACGUCGCAAGACCAAAGAGGGGGACCUUCGGGCCUCUUGCCAUCAGAUGUGCCCAGAUGGGAUUAGCUAGUAGGUGGGGUAACGGCUCACCUAGGCGACGAUCCCUAGCUGGUCUGAGAGGAUGACCAGCCACACUGGAACUGAGACACGGUCCAGACUCCUACGGGAGGCAGCAGUGGGGAAUAUUGCACAAUGGGCGCAAGCCUGAUGCAGCCAUGCCGCGUGUAUGAAGAAGGCCUUCGGGUUGUAAAGUACUUUCAGCGGGGAGGAAGGUGUUGUGGUUAAUAACCACAGCAAUUGACGUUACCCGCAGAAGAAGCACCGGCUAACUCCGUGCCAGCAGCCGCGGUAAUACGGAGGGUGCAAGCGUUAAUCGGAAUUACUGGGCGUAAAGCGCACGCAGGCGGUCUGUCAAGUCGGAUGUGAAAUCCCCGGGCUCAACCUGGGAACUGCAUUCGAAACUGGCAGGCUAGAGUCUUGUAGAGGGGGGUAGAAUUCCAGGUGUAGCGGUGAAAUGCGUAGAGAUCUGGAGGAAUACCGGUGGCGAAGGCGGCCCCCUGGACAAAGACUGACGCUCAGGUGCGAAAGCGUGGGGAGCAAACAGGGUUAGAUACCCUGGUAGUCCACGCCGUAAACGAUGUCAAAGGGGAGGUUGUGCCCUUGAGGCGUGGCUCACGGAGCUAACGCGUUAAUUCGUCCG